rnacentral:rRNA from 1 species
CGUAGGGUGCAGGCGUUAAUCGGAAUUACUGGGCGUAAAGCGUGCGCAGGCGGUUUCUUAAGUCAGAUGUGAAAGCCCCGGGCUUAACCUGGGAACUGCGUUUGAAACUGGGAGACUUGAGUGUGGCAGGGGGGGUGGAAUUCCACGUGUAGCAGUGAAAUGCGUAGAUAUGUGGAGGAACACCGAUGGCGAAGGCAGCCCCCUGGGUUAACACUGACGCUCAUGCACGAAAGCGUGGGGAGCAAACAGGAUUAGAUACCCUGGUAGUCCACGCCCUAAACUAUGUCAACUGGUUGUCGGGGGAUUAACUCCCUUGGUAACGAAGCUAACGCGUGAAGUUGACCGCCUGGGGAGUACGGUCGCAAGAUUA